GUUCUUGAUUUGGAGGCACAUACACUGAAACUAAAACAAUACUGAGAUUAGCAUGGCCUCUAGAAAAAGAUCACAUGCAGAUUCCUGACAUGGUCCAUAAUUUU
ensembl:snRNA LOC120099430 U6 spliceosomal RNA